AUAUAGGGACACGUAAUCACAGAUUUGGCGGUUGAUAGUGGGGGGAUUUGCAACGCUUUUUCAAAUCAGAGCCUCUCGUUUAAGCAGGAAGGGAUUAUAUCAUAUUAUCACAAACAGAUAGGGAGAGUGGAGAGAGAAAGUGUGGAAUGCCUAUGCCGAUGAGAGCUUUGUCAACGGCAGCCGCCGGAGGUACCAUCCUCUGCAACCACCGCCACCUUCUUUCUCUACAGCAUCCACACCAAUCGCCUCUACCCCGUCCCCACGCUCGAUCCAGGCCCUCAAUCUUCCCCUGUCAACACCCUCUCCCUCGAUCUCUCAAACCUCUACUGCUCCUCACCAGAGCUGCCGAAUCCACUCCCCCUCCAUCCGCCGCUUCUCCUUCUUCCUUGUCGGACAAGACGAUUGUUGUAGAUGAGGAGUUUUCGUUAGCUAAGGUUUCAUUUGGUGUUAUUGGACUGGGUCUUGGAAUUACACUACUCUCAUAUGGUUUUGGGGCAUACUUCAAUAUCCUUCCUGGAUCUGAAUGGUCAGCAAUAAUGCUAACAUAUGGCUUUCCUCUUGCAAUAAUUGGUAUGGCUCUCAAGUAUGCAGAACUGAAACCAGUUCCAUGCUUGACUUACUCAGAUGCUCAAAAGUUAAGAGAAACAAGUGCCACCCCAAUUCUUAAACAGGUCAGGAAUGAUGUUAUAAGAUAUCGUUAUGGGGAUGAACAGCAUCUGGAAGAAGCAUUGAAACGGAUUUUUCAGUAUGGUCUGGGUGGUGGAAUUCCAAGGAGGAGUGCGCCUACUCUACAAAUGAUUCGUGAAGAAGUAACUGAAGAUGGUAAAUACUGUUUAGUGCUGGUGUUUGAGGCAAAAGCCCUGCAGUUGUCAGAUUUUGAAAAAAGACAGGCAAAAUUUGCUUCAUUCUUUGGACCGGGGAUCACAGCUGAAGUUGCAAAGGGAGAGAAUGACCUAUACGAAGUCCGUCUUAUUUCCAACUCAACACCAUAGCCUGGCGUACAGCAUAUUUAGCUCAAAGCACCUGUAGUUGUAGAGCUAAGGUCCUGAAUGGUAAAAGGUUGAAUUCAAAUUUUCCAUUAGCAAGUCCAAUUGCACUGUCAGAUUGAAGACUGAAGCACAAAGUAUAAACUGGUAAAAAUGGAAACUGAACUCAGAGAGAACGAGGUGUAGGCUGUAGCAUUCUAAGUACAGUGGACUCAGUUUCAGGAACUUAACUUUUUAGGUUUUGCACAUAACUUAUUUGUGUCUAUCUUAAACAUAUAUGUUAUUCCAAUUUACUGAACUUUCAAAUUUUAGCUGAACUCAAGGGGAUAGUUGUACAAGAACUAAGUUUAGUUCCCAGCUUUAAGCCAGUAUCUAGGAAAAUGAAGUUAUUCAAAUUGCUUACCAACCA